rnacentral:rRNA from 1 species
GUCUACGGUCAUGCCACCCUGAACAAGCCCAAUGUCUGAUCUGGGAAGCUAAGCAGGGUCAGCUUAGCUUGAAUGGGAGACCACCUAGGAAGACCAGGUGCUGUAUGCA